AGUAGUUUGACUCCGUGGCUACGAGAACGACGCUGGCGGCAUGCCUAACACAUGCAAGUCGAACGGGAUCCUGGCUUCGGUCAGGUGAGAGUGGCGGACGGGUGAGUAACGCGUGGGAACCUGCCCAGUGGUGGGGGAUAACUGCGGGAAACUGCAGCUAAUACCGCAUGAGCCCGAGGGGGGAAAGAUUUAUCGCCAUUGGAGGGGCCCGCGUUCGAUUAGGUAGUUGGUGAGGUAACGGCUCACCAAGCCGACGAUCGAUAGCUGGUCUGAGAGGAUGAUCAGCCACACUGGGACUGAGAUACGGCCCAGACUCCUACGGGAGGCAGCAGUGGGGAAUAUUGGACAAUGGGGGCAACCCUGAUCCAGCAAUGCCGCGUGAGUGAUGAAGGCCUUCGGGUUGUGAAGCUCUUUUGGCGGGGACGAUGAUGACGGUACCCGCAGAAUAAGCCCCGGCUAACUUCGUG
rnacentral:rRNA from 1 species